rnacentral:rRNA from 1 species
UACGGGAGGCAGCAGUGGGGAAUAUUGCACAAUGGGCGAAAGCCUGAUGCAGCUAUGCCGCGUGUAUGAAGAAGGCCUUAGGGUUGUAAAGUACUUUCAUCGGGGAGGAAAAACAAAACUAAUAAUUUUAUUUCUUGACGUUACCCGAAAAAGAAGCACCGGCUAACUCCGUGCCAGCAGCCGCGGUAAUACGGAGGGUGCUAGCGUUAAUCAGAAUUAUUGGGCGUAAAGAGCACGUAGGUGGUUUUUUUAAGUCAGAUGUGAAAUCCCUGGGCUUAACCUGGAACUGCAUUUUGAAACUGAAAUACUAGAGUAUCGUAGAGGGAGGUAGAAUUCUAGGUGUAGCGGUGAAAUGCGUAGAUAUCUGGAGGAAUACCUGUGGCGAAAGCGGCCUCCUAAACGAAUACUGACACUGAGGUGCGAAAGCGUGGGGAGCAAACAGGGAUUAGAUACCCGU